UACGGGAGGCAGCAGUGGGGAAGUAUUGCACAAUGGGCGAAAGCCUGAUGCAGCUAUGCCGCGUGUAUGAAGAAGGCCUUAGGGUUGUAAAGUACUUUCAUCGGGGAGGAAAAAACAAAACUAAUAAUUUUAUUUCUUGACGUUACCCGAAAAAGAAGCACCGGCUAACUCCGUGCCAGCAGCCGCGGUAAUACGGAGGGUGCUAGCGUUAAUCAGAAUUACUGGGCGUAAAGAGCACGUAGGUGGUUUUUUAAAGUCAGAUGUGAAAUCCCUGGGCUUUAACCUAGGAACUGCAUUUUGAAACUGAAAUACUAGAGUAUCGUAGAGGGAGGUAGAAUUCUAGGUGUAGCGGUGAAAUGCGUAGAUAUCUGGAGGAAUACCUGUGGCGAAAGCGGCCUCCUAAACGAAUACUGACACUGAGGGUGCGAAAGCGUGGGGAGCAAACAGGGAUUAGAUACC
rnacentral:rRNA from 1 species